CGCCUUUAAUCCCAGCACUCGGGAGGCAGAGCCAGGCGGAUCUCUGUGAGUUCGAGGCCAGCCUGGGCUACCAAGUGAGUCCCAGGAAAGGCGCAAAGCUGCACAGAGAAACCCUGUCUCGAAAAACCAAAAAAAAAAAAAAAACAAAAAAAAAAAAAACAAAAUCCCAAGACAAUGGCUGAAUCUGUCUUUUCCCCAUGUGGAAUGGAUGUUAUCAUCUUGGCAUGUAAUUUGCUAAGAAUUUGUGUUUGGAAACUAUUGGAGAGUCCUUUUGAUUUGAAAUUUCCUGUACAAACAAAAGCAUUAAUGCACUUAAUGAAAAAAAUCUUUGCAUGAUAAAUUAACAUCUUAAGAGGAAAAGAAACAAAAGCAUGUUAUAACAGAAGAAAAAAGGAUUUAUGAAAAGCCCUUCUUAGUGUUCCAGCGGAAAGCAGACCUAUCAUUCUAGUCACCAAUAAUAGAAAAGAAGACGUGUGUGUUUCCCUGGUUCUAACAGUAAUGUAAGCAAUGGUCCUACCGUGAAACCAUCCAUUUGUCCUGCGGUUUGGGUAGAGGGUGAUUGACUUAUCACUUAUUUUAAUAAGUACAUCUGACUUUGCUUCUACACUUCACUGAGUCCCAGGCUUAGCACUCAGUCACCAUGGGAGCCAUUGUGUGUUGUGUGACUUCAGCGUCAAGGACAAAACUGAGAUCUUUUCCAGCAAUUCCGUCAUAGAAACAUUUCUCAAAUCUCUUGGAAUUGAUUCUCAAUAAAAUCUAGGUCUCUAACCCUAAAAAAUUUAAAGAGACCUUAAAGGAUACGGUUCCCUUUUAUAUGACCCACCAAUGCCAUUUUAAAGGUAUCAUUUACCCAUUAUCUGUGCCAGUUUGAAAAAAUAAAGAGUAAGAUUAGGCCCAAGAUUGGUUGAAAAUGAAGAUAGGUUCUUUGAGAUAUUUAGCGGUCAGGCAUUUGGACAGAGUAUACAAUGAAGCUAGCCUGGAGAGGAAAACGAUUAGUCUUUGUAUCACAAGCUUCUUUGGGGGAGGGUGCCACCACUGCCCCCUGACCACACUGGUUCACAGGGAGCAGUCACAAAGCCAGCACGUCAGAGCCAGUCUUGCUCGCUGUGUGGUAGGAAAAGCACCCACUCCCCAGCUUCGCCUGCUGUCACUCAGCCCCAUCUUAGGUGGUAGCCUGGUGUAUGCACACUGCUCAGAGUUUCUGAGCUAACUGUCACCAACUUAGGCUGAGCCUUGUCGCUCAUGUGCAAAAUUCUAGGAAGCAUGGCUGCUCGGAAGUUUAGUAUUCCUAUCUACAGACCACAUAGCCCUGGCUGGAAGAAAUAGGUAAGGUCUCCUCUGGACAUGGGGGUGAAGGUGCAGUGUGGUGUGGGGAGUGUGGGUGUGGGGAAGGGUAUGAGAGUCUGAGGAAAAUGAGGUUUUGAUGCAACCAGAGCCCAGGCAAAUGCCUGGGUUUGUAUCUUCUUUCGGCUAGUAUCUUUUGGUGUGUAUCCUUUUAAGUGAAGCCUUGACUGUGCAUAACAAUCACUUGAGAUUUUUAAAUUCCCAAUGAUUUCAAAAAGUCUUAGACUGGAAACAGAACAUCAGCAUUUUUGAAAGUCCUAAAAGUGGGUCUAUGUCCAGCCAAAGUUGCUAAGCACUGCUGCUUUAUGACUAAGAAAGAUUUUUCUUGUCUUCCUGAGCUGAUAUCUUAGCCACUUCUAAGGGAGCAGGGAAGGCAGAAGGUAAGAGAUGCAGCCUCUCACAGAACAAAGUGAGUGCACAUUUCUAAUCAGGCAGCUCCACUGAUUCUUUGUAACUCUAGAAUAUUCUGUGUGAUUUGAUCUUGAGUUAUUUGAGUCAAAGUUGUAAGUUUGAGCUGCCUUUUACAUAAGGUACCAGAAAUAGCACCAUAAGUUCAGCAGUAUAGAAAAUUAAUUCUCAAUAGCUGGAAAAUGUAAAUUCUCAAAGUAAUUACUUACUAUAUCAGCUCCAAGUUUUUCAUGCACCCUCUUGCUGGAACAGACAUGGCGAGUGAUCCCUGCUCUCCUGCGGGUGUCCUACUGGACCUGAUUCAGCAAACGGAGAAGUGUGUGGUUGUUGUCUCAACAUCUCCCAGGGCCACUUGAAUCUGUUCUCUAAUUUACUGGGUAUGUGGGUAAAGGGAAGAUCACCAUCUGAACACCAGGGCUCUGAAAAAGUGCUUAUACCCCCAGAAAGGAAUAGCCCAGCCAAUGGGAGGCACCGACACACAGAAAACAUUGAGACUUCUGUCCCUCCUGCCACUUCCCCUCCUGACUUGGCCCACCCUUCUCAACUGCAAAGCCAGAAGAUACACUAGGUGGUGGUUUUUGGAUAGUUGUACACAGGAUCAAAAUCUCUAAUAACCUAUAAUUUUUAGUACUUAAUUAUGUGAUGUUUUAUUCUAGGAAAUAAGAGACAGACAACACCAUUGAUGUAUCUUUCUUUCAUCUUCAGAAUUUUUGCAUCUUUUCAAAAAAUGACAAAUUACUAUUUUUCUGUUGCAUUCAGCAAUUGUGACUAUACCUAAAAUUCUUGUAGUCUGUAGAGAUAUCAAUAAAAUUGUAUAUGUUUGUACAUA